CACAGAACAGAGAGUCCACAUCAACACAGUGGUAACCAGCAGACGAGCUUCAACCACUCUGUGAGAGACUUGGCCACCCAGAGACUAACUGCUGCUGCUGAGGAAAUAUUCACCCUGUUUCAACCAACUGUGGUUCAGUACGAGGAGGAGAUUGGUCGUCAACGCAGAAUGCUGGAAAUCAACAGGAAUCCUCACAUGAAGUUACACAGAACAGAGCUCCAACAGGACCUUGACUGCGGAGAGGAGCAGCUCUUUAAACAGGAAACUAACUACUGUCUAGAACAGGA